rnacentral:rRNA from 1 species
AUGACUGAUGACAGAAGUGGAGCGGGCGGACUGGCAAGAACCUCCUCCACCUUUGUUGCUGCCUGGAGCAAGCCGCACCUCAACGUCACGGAUCCACUCACUGCAGAAGCACUGGCCCUGCAAGAUGGAGUCAUAUUUGGCAAGCUUCGAGGUUUCCAACGAGUGAUCUUCGAGACUGACUGCCUGGAGUUGGUCCAACUAUGGAACUCGUGACAUUUUACGCGCUCUGUUAUAGCGCCUAUCCUUAUCGAUAUCGAAGAGCUAGCCUCCUCUUUCCCUAGUUUUGAUAUUCAGCAUGUACUUAGACAGGCCAACACUUCAGCUCACCUGUGUGCAAAACAUGCAAGCACAUUGGGAGUGACUGAUUGUUGGAUGAACUCCCCUCCCGGUUUCCUUGUGACCAGCCUGAUGGCUGACCGCGCUGGAGCUGGAAAUGGUUGA